GGCAGUGUAGCAUAGUGGUAAGGCGCAGGACUCAAAACCAAAAGGUUGCCGGUUCGAUUCCCCACUGGGGCAUUGCCG
rnacentral:tRNA from 1 species